UACGGGGGGAGCAAGCGUUGUUCGGAUUUACUGGGCGUAAAGGGCGCGUAGGCGGCCACCGCAAGUCGACUGUGAAAUCUCCGGGCUUAACCCGGAAAGGUCAGCCGAUACUGCGGGGCUAGAGUGCAGAAGGGGCAACUGGAAUUCUCGGUGUAGCGGUGAAAAUGCGUAGAUAUCGAGAGGAACACCGGUGGCGAAGGCGGCUUCCUGGACCGACACUGACGCUGAGGCGCGAAAGCUAGGGGGAGCAAACGGG
rnacentral:rRNA from 1 species